ensembl:miRNA
UGCCGUGGGCCUGGGGAGGAGGAAGGGCAAGUCCAAAGGUAUACAGUUGGUCUGCUCCUUCUCUCUUUUUGGCCUACAAG